rnacentral:rRNA from 1 species
UGGGUAAUCAACCCUUCAGCUUGAGAUAACGACUUGAAAGGGUCGCUAAUACCGGAUACGGCGCGAGAGGCUUCGGCUUCUCACGAGAAAGCUCGCAAGGGGCACUGAAGGACGAGCCUGCGGCCCAUCAGCUAGUUGGUGAGGUAAGAGCUCACCAAGGCUAAGACGGGUAGCUGGUCUGAGAGGAUGAUCAGCCACACUGGAACUGAGACACGGUCA